CAGUCGCGCGGUAAUACCGAGGGUGCAAGCGUUAAUCGGAAUUACUGGGCGUAAAGCGCGCGUAGGUGGUUUGUUAAGUUGGAUGUGAAAUCCCCGGGCUCAACCUGGGAACUGCAUCCAAAACUGGCAGGCUAGAGUAGGGCAGAGGGUGGUGGAAUUUCCUGUGUAGCGGUGAAAUGCGUAGAUAUAGGAAGGAACACCAGUGGCGAAGGCGACCACCUGGGCUCAUACUGACACUGAGGUGCGAAAGCGUGGGGAGCAAACAGGAUUAGAUACCCGUGUAGUCCCUGUCUCUUAUACA
rnacentral:rRNA from 1 species